CCUACGGGAGGCAGCAGUAAGGAAUAUUGGACAAUGCUCGCAAGAGUGAUCCAGCCAUGCCGCGUGCAGGAAGAAUGCCCUAUGGGUAGUAAACUGCUUUUGAACUAGAGAAAAUCCCAGUACGUGUACUGGGCUGAUAGUAUAGUUAGAAUAAGCAUCGGCUAACUUCGUGCCAGCAGCCGCGGUAAGACGAAGGAUGCAAGCGUUAUCCGGAUUCAUUGGGUUUAAAGGGAGCGUAGGUGGACUGAUAAGUCAGUGGUGAAAUCUCCGAGCUUAACUCGGAAAUUGCCAUUGAUACUGUUGGUCUUGAGUACAGUUGCUGUGGGCGGAAUAUGACAUGUAGUGGUGAAAUACAUAGAGAUGUCAUAGAACACCGAUUGCGAAGGCAGCUCACAAAGCUGUAACUGACACUGAGGCUCGAAAGUGCGGGGAUCAAACAGGAUUAGAUACCCUGGUAGUCCGCACCGUAAACGAUGAUUACUCGCUGCUAGGGGGCAACCUUUAGUGGCUUAGNGAAGNGANAGANACACGNGGAGACGCGCGACGAGACGACGAAGAAGUAGAGGNGNGAGGAGNGCGACGGACGACGACGAGGGGAGGAGG
rnacentral:rRNA from 1 species